rnacentral:rRNA from 1 species
GGUUAAGCGACUAAGCGUACACGGUGGAUGCCCUGGCAGUCAGAGGCGAUGAAGGACGUGCUAAUCUGCGAUAAGCGUCGGUAAGGUGAUAUGAACCGUUAUAACCGGCGAUUUCCGAAUGGGGAAACCCAGUGUGUUUCGACACACUAUCAUUAACUGAAUCCAUAGGUUAAUGAGGCGAACCGGGGGAACUGAAACAUCUAAGUACCCCGAGGAAAAGAAAUCAACCGAGAUUCCCCCAGUAGCGGCGAGCGAACGGGGAGCAGCCCAGAGCCUGAAUCAGUGUGUGUGUUAGUGGAAGCGUCUGGAAAGGCGCGCGAUACAGGGUGACAGCCCCGUACACAAAAAUGCACAUGCUGUGAGCUCGAUGAGUAGGGCGGGACACGUGGUAUCCUGUCUGAAUAUGGGGGGACCAUCCUCCAAGGCUAAAUACUCCUGACUGACCGAUAGUGAACCAGUACCGUGAGGGAAAGGCGAAAAGAACCCCGGCGAGGGGAGUGAAAAAGAACCUGAAACCGUGUACGUACAAGCAGUGGGAGCACAGAGCAAUCUGUGUGACUGCGUACCUUUUGUAUAAUGGGUCAGCGACUUAUAUUCUGUAGCAAGGUUAACCGAAUAGGGGAGCCGAAGGGAAACCGAGUCUUAACUGGGCGUUAAGUUGCAGGGUAUAGACCCGAAACCCGGUGAUCUAGCCAUGGGCAGGUUGAAGGUUGGGUAACACUAACUGGAGGACCGAACCGACUAAUGUUGAAAAAUUAGCGGAUGACUUGUGGCUGGGGGUGAAAGGCCAAUCAAACCGGGAGAUAGCUGGUUCUCCCCGAAAGCUAUUUAGGUAGCGCCUCGUGAAUUCAUCUCCGGGGGUAGAGCACUGUUUCGGCAAGGGGGUCAUCCCGACUUACCAACCCGAUGCAAACUGCGAAUACCGGAGAAUGUUAUCACGGGAGACACACGGCGGGUGCUAACGUCCGUCGUGAAGAGGGAAACAACCCAGACCGCCAGCUAAGGUCCCAAAGUCAUGGUUAAGUGGGAAACGAUGUGGGAAGGCCCAGACAGCCAGGAUGUUGGCUUAGAAGCAGCCAUCAUUUAAAGAAAGCGUAAUAGCUCACUGGUCGAGUCGGCCUGCGCGGAAGAUGUAACGGGGCUAAACCAUGCACCGAAGCUGCGGCAGCGAC